rnacentral:rRNA from 1 species
UACAGAGGGGGCAAGCGUUGUUCGGAAUUACUGGGCGUAAAGGGCGCGUAGGCGGCCUUCUAAGUCGAACGUGAAAUCCCCGGGCUCAACCCGGGAACUGCGUCCGAUACUGGAAGGCUUGAAUCCGGGAGAGGGAUGCGGAAUUCCAGGUGUAGCGGUGAAAUGCGCAGAUAUCAGGAGGAACACCGGUGGCGAAGGCGGGUCUCUGGGCCGAUACUGACGCUGAGGCGCGAAAGCCAGGGGAGCGAACGGG